UACGAAGGGUGCUAGCGUUGUUCGGAAUUACUGGGCGUAAAGCGCGCGUAGGCGGCUAUUCAAGUCAGAGGUGAAAUCCCCAGGCUCAACCUGGGAAUUGCCUUUGAAACUGUAUAGCUAGAGUGUCGGAGGGGAUAGCGGAAUUCCUAAUGUAGAGGUGAAAUUCGUAGAUAUUAGGAGGAACACCGGUGGCGAAGGCGGCUAUCUGGACGACAACUGACGCUGAGGCGCGAAAGCACGGGGAUCAAACAGG
rnacentral:rRNA from 1 species